CGUAUCCGUGUGAGCUUCUUGGAAAAAAACAAAAGCUAUUGUCAUUGAAAACACAACUAUGCUUACUACUAUACUCAACAUGUCAAAUCAUUUUGCUACCUAAAAUCUGAAAAAUCUCUCUUUCUCUGAUUUCUUCUUCUUCCACCUUCCUCCCUCCUCCUCCCUCUAACACAUGUUCGUCUUCCACCUUCCUCCCUCCGUCUCCCUCUAAUAUAUUUUCUGCUUUCUUCCUCUUCAUUUCCCCUUUUCUUCAUCAUCUUCUUCAUUUCCCAAAACGAAACCGACACGGUUAUCAUGUUUUUUUGGAUUUUUGUUUAAAGAUACUGUUUAGAUAUUGUGGUUAGUGUUUUUGUGGUUUAUAUGAUGAUUUUGUGGUUUAUAUGAUGAUUUUGUGGUUAGGGUUUUUGUGAUUGUGGUUGAUAUCAUGAUUUUGUGGUUAGGGUUUUGAUGCUACUAUUGGCCAAAUGGAGGUUACCGGCGAUUAGUGUGGUGGUGGUGGUAGAAACGGGUUUCCGUCGACGAGUGUGGUGGUGGCCGAAAUCAGAAAGGUUGAUGAAGGAGAUGGUGGUGUAGGUUUGAAUGGUGACCAUAUGUUAAAUAUGGUGAGUUAUUACUACUAUCAUAUGUUUCUGAUGGAUAUGUUUUUUUUACGACGUGUGCAGUUUUGCGAUGAUAUAUCUAUGGUGGCGGCUAAACGUUUCCGGCGACGAGAGUGGCUGUGGAUGGAUUCGAAAUGGUUGAAGUGUUUUAUCAACUAAAAUUACAACAGUAUAAGUUAUAAUUUUCAAUAAUGGGUUAUGAGAAAAUUUCAAUUCUGUUUAAUGUUUUAGAGUUUUAGUCAUUUUAAAACUUGCUAUCAUAAAGGUUUGUUCAUGUUUCCCAAAAACUUGCAGAAAUAAAGAAAUCUCAAAACUAUUUAUGUGGCUUGAAAGCAUCGUGAAUGUAAUGAUUUCUUAUUUUGAUCUAAGGGCAACAAAGAAAGCAAUUUAAGUCAUUAGAAGUAUGCCAUUGAGGUUUAGCAAGGAGGGCAUACAAUAUUUGA